UACGUAGGGGGCAAGCGUUGUUCGGAAUUACUGGGCGUAAAGAGCUCGUAGGCGGUGUGUCACGUCGGCCGUGAAAACCUGCAGCUUAACUGUGGGCGUGCGGUCGAUACGGGCAUCACUGGAGUUCGGCAGGGGAGACUGGAAUUCCUGGUGUAGCGGUGAAAUGCGCAGAUAUUAGGAAGAACACCGGUGGCGAAGGCGGCCCACUGGUCCGGUACUGACGCUGAGGUGCGAAAGCGUGGGGAGCAAACAGG
rnacentral:rRNA from 1 species